rnacentral:rRNA from 1 species
AAGGGAGCUUGACUGCGAGACCUACAAGUCGAGCAGGGACGAAAGUCGGGCUUAGUGAUCCGGUGGUACCGCAUGGAAGGGCCAUCGCUCAACGGAUAAAAGCUACCCUGGGGAUAACAGGCUUAUCUCCCCCAAGAGUCCACAUCGACGGGGAGGUUUGGCACCUCGAUGUCGGCUCAUCGCAUCCUGGGGCUGAAGUAGGUCCCAAGGGUUGGGCUGUUCGCCCAUUAAAGCGGUACGCGAGCUGGGUUCAGAACGUCGUGAGACAGUUCGGUCCCUAUCUGUCGCGGGCGCAGGAAAUUUGAGAGGAGCUGUCCUUAGUACGAGAGGACCGGGAUGGACGUACCGCUGGUGUACCAGUUGUCUCGCCAGAGGCAUAGCUGGGUAGCCAAGUACGGAAGGGAUAAGCGCUGAAAGCAUCUAAGCGUGAAGCCCCCCUCAAGAUGAGAUUUCCCACAUUGGUAAGACCCCUUGAAGACGACGAGGUAGAUAGGUUGGAGGUGGAAGUGCAGCAAUGCAUGGAGCUGACCAAUACUAAUCGGUCGAGGGCUUAUCCUA